UAGGGAAUAUUGCAAAAUGGGCGAAAGCCCGAUGCAGCAACGCCGCGUGGGCGAUGAAGGCCUUCGGGUCGUAAAGCCCUUUUUGAGGGGAUGAGGAAGGACAGUACCCUCAGAAUAAGCCUCGGCUAACUACGUGCCAGCAGCCGCGGUAAAACGUAGGAGGCGAGCGUUAUCCGGAUUUACUGGGCGUAAAGCGCGUGCAGGCGGAUUGGGGAGUUGGAUGUGAAAGCUCCCGGCUUAACUGGGAGAGGUCGUUCAAUACUUCCAGUCUUGAGUGCAGUAGAGGGAAGUGGAGUUCCGGGUGUAGUGGUGAAAUGCGUAGAGAGCCGGAGGAACACCAGUGGCGAAAGCGGCUUCCUGGACUGUAACUGACGCUCAGACGCGAAAGCUAGGG
rnacentral:rRNA from 1 species